GACGAACGCUGGCGGCGUGCUUAACACAUGCAAGUCGAACGGAAAGGCUCCAGCCUGGUGGGGCACACGAGUGGCGAACGGGUGUGAAACACGCGUGUGACCCGCCCUUCACUGCGGGAUAAGCCUGGGAAACUGGGUCUAAUAUCGGAGAGGAUCGCACCGUGAGGGUGGGGUGGUAAGGUUUUUCGGUGUGGGAUGGGCCUGAGGCCUAAUCGGUUGUUGGUGGGGUAAUUGCCUACGAAGGGGGUGACGGGUAGCCGGCCUGAGAGGGGGGACGGGCACAUGGGGACUGCGGCAGGCCCCAGACUCGUACGGGCGGCAGCGGUGGGAAAUCUUGCGCAAUGGGGGGACGCCUGUUGCGGAGACGCCGGGUGGGGAAUGACGGCCUUCGGGUGGAAAACUCCUUUGACCAUCAACAAGCGGUUUCUGACGGUAGCUGGUGAAGAAGCACCGGCUAACUACGUG
rnacentral:rRNA from 1 species